CCCAGCCCUGGCAUUCCCAAGAGUCCCCAUUCGGUGAUCAGGACUGAACACAGAGACUCGCAAUGGAGACUGGGCUGAGCUGGAUUUUUCUUCUUGCUCUGUUACAGGGUGUCCAGUGUGAGGUGCAACUGGUGGAGUCUGGGGGAGGCCUGGUCCAGCCUGGGGGGUCCCUAAAACUCUCCUGUGCAGCUUCUGGAUUCACCUUCAGCAGCUAUGCCAUGAGUUGGGUCCGCCAGGCUCCAGGAAAAGGGCUGGAGUGGAUGGCAGUUCUAUGGAGUGGUGGUAGCACAAACUACGCAGACGCCGUGAAGGGCCGAUUCACCAUCUCCAGAGACAAUGCCAAGAACAUGCUCUAUCUGCAAAUGAACAGUCUGAGAGCCGAGGACACGGCCCUGUACUACUGUGCGAGAGACACAGUGAGGGGACAUCAGUGUGAACCCAGACACAAACCUCCUCCUGCAGUGACAUGUGGGGCCACCAGGGGGGAGUGUGGGAUCCUGGAAGCCUAA